AAUAUACGACGCCGUUGAUUUUUUUACAACGUUUGAUCAUUCGUCUUAUUUAAAAAUUAAUUUAAUUAUUAUUUAUUUUAUUGUGACUUGAUUCAUCAUCAAAUGUUCUUUAAGCAUGACAUAAAUAUUUUCAUACUUGCACAAAAAUUUUAAAUAAAAUGAAUGGUCAAACGUUGUGUAAAAAGUCAACGGCGUCAUACAUU
rnacentral:pre_miRNA from 1 species